rnacentral:rRNA from 1 species
UACGAAGGGGGCUAGCGUUGUUCGGAAUGACUGGGCGUAAAGGGCGCGUAGGCGGCGAUGUAAGUCAGGGGUGAAAUCCUGGAGCUCAACUCCAGAACUGCCUUUGAUACUGGGAAGCUCGAGUCCGGAAGAGGUGAGUGGAACUCCGAGUGUAGAGGUGAAAUUCGUAGAUAUUCGGAAGAACACCAGUGGCGAAGGCGGCUCACUGGUCCGGUACUGACGCUGAGGUGCGAAAGCGUGGGGAGCAAACAGG